GUGCUCCUAGCAUGUCGUGAGAGAGGGAGGUGGGCCAUGUAUAAAAAAAUAGUACAUAUUUACAUGCGACUAUUGUACUUGCCGGCUAUAAGCUUGGCUAUAUAGAUGAUGUGACAACACCAUAUAGCCAACAGCUGGCUAUACUAUUAACCAUGAUCUAAUUAAAUGAGAUAGGGAGUAAAUGUUCUCUAGCUACAAAUCAGUGUAUAAGGAUAUAAUUAGGUAAGCUUCUUUACACCCAAAUAGAGAGGAGAAGAACUUUGUGUCUACUCUCAUGGAAGGGAAAGCUAUUCUUCUUUGCCUCAUGGUGAUUGUGCAGACCGAUGCUGGCAUUUAUUGCCUUUCUUAUUCCGUGUUGCUCUCCCCUUGCCAUCUUAAAGAGAAGAACACGCAUAAUUAAUUUAAGUCCACGUUGAGAAAAUUCCAAAGAAUUUCGUCUAGUUCAUUUUACAACAUUAUUCUACUCUGGCUGACACGUAAAAGGAAACAUAUAUAGAGAAAGAGAGAUGGAUUUCGUACCACACAAAUGGAAUCUCCGAGCUACACAAUCACCAUGAGGCAAAGCAGAAUAGCUUUCCAAUCCAUAAGAUUAUACACAGAGUUCUUCUCCUCUCUGUUUGGGUGUACAGAAGCUUACCUAAUUAUAUCUUUAUAUAUAGUCUCGUAGCUAGAGAACAUUUACUCCCUAUCUCACUCAAUUA
rnacentral:lncRNA from 1 species